UACGAAGGGGGCUAGCGUUGCUCGGAAUCACUGGGCGUAAAGGGUGCGUAGGCGGGUCUUUAAGUCAGGGGUGAAAUCCUGGAGCUCAACUCCUGAACUGCCUUUGAUACUGAAGAUCUUGAGUUCGGGAGAGGUGAGUGGAACUGCGAGCGUAGAGGUGAAAUUCGUAGAUAUUCGCAAGAACACCAGUGGCGAAGGCGGCUCACUGGCCCGAUACUGACGCUGAGGCACGAAAGCGUGGGGAGCAAACAGG
rnacentral:rRNA from 1 species